rnacentral:rRNA from 1 species
AGAGUUUGAUCCUGGCUCAGAAUCAACGCUGGCGGCGUGCCUAACACAUGCAAGUCGCACGAGAAAGGGGAGCAAUCCCUGAGUAUAGUGGCGCACGGGUGAGUAACACGUGACUAACCUACCCUCGAGUGGGGAAUAACCUAGGGAAACCUGGGCUAAUACCGCAUAACACUUACGAGUCAAAGCAGCAAUGCGCUUGGGGAGGGGGUCGCGGCCGAUUAGCUAGUUGGCGGGGUAAUGGCCCACCAAGGCAAUGAUCGGUAUCCGGCCUGAGAGGGCGCACGGACACACUGGAACUGAAACACGGUCCAGACUCCUACGGGAGGCAGCAGUGGGGAAUUUUGCGCAAUGGGGGAAACCCUGACGCAGCAACGCCGCGUGGAGGAUGAAGUACUUCGGUACGUAAACUCCUUUCGAUCGGGACGAUAAUGACGGUACCGGAAGAAGAAGCCCCGGCUAACUUCGUGCCAGCAGCCGCGGUAAUACGAGGGGGGCAAGCGUUGUUCGGAAUUAUUGGGCGUAAAGGGUGCGUAGGCGGUUUGGUAAGUCUUGUGUGAAAUCUACAGGCUCAACUUGUAGACUGCACGAGAAACUGCCGGGCUUGAGUGUGGGAGAGGUGAGUGGAAUUUCCGGUGUAGCGGUGAAAUGCGUAGAUAUCGGAAGGAACACCUGUGGCGAAAGCGGCUCACUGGACCACAACUGACG